AAAUAAGUUGCAAGUCCUGAAGAAGAGUCUUGGCCUGAAAAGUUGAUUCUUUAUUCAUUUCCAUGGAUGCUGCCUGAACUGUUGAGUUCCUCAAGCAUUUUCAUCCUGUUAUGACAGUCCAAAGCAAACUGCAAGAGCAACAUAGCUUCC